GUCGUUGAACUGUUUAAAUAAAUAUCAUCACAUUGGCCUUGAGUCAGUUCAAACUCUUGGAAAAAAUGGAAACAUGUUUGUUUUAUAUAUCUCGUCAGUCUGAAAUCAGGAGCAGUAGAGUGAACAUUGAAAUUUCUUGUUUAAUUUUUAGUGUUGUGUUUUUGGAUUCCAGUUAAAAAGUUCAUACUUUGGACUUUGUAGACUGUGCUGCGUCGGCUGUGGGUCCUGCGGACCCUGCGGCGGCCCCUGUUGCAGUCCUUGCUGUGGACCGCGUUGUGGAACAUCCUGCUGAGCGAUGGCCCAUGUUCGUCGAAUCUAAAAAGGUACUGCACCUUUCUGUUCUGCUGAUGAUGACAGCCAGUCAUUUUUGUCGGACCAGCGACGACUAGCGUUUCUCCUGCUUUUUGUGGAUCAAUCCUUGGCGAUGGCAGCCCUUCUUGAUGGCAGUUUUGUGCUUUCUCUUGUUUGCUCUUACGUUAUUUGCAUCAUCUUCAGGUGAUUUUUUAUUAAUAAAAAAAAAAUCACCACAAGAUGUUGGAUAUUCCGUUACAGCAAGCAAAAGCAGGCCCAAUACUUCCAUCAAAGAGGAAUGCCACCGCCAAAGAUAGAUAAAAAGGAAGCAGGAGAGGAGCUACUGCAGGAGGCGCGACGCGAGUCCUCCGAGGCCGAGGAGACGGCGGCCGUGGUGGCUCCACGACCAGAUUGAGCCUACAGUAAGGGCGUUGCGAUCUGCACGCUUUCGAGUGGAGACUUUCGAGGCUUUGCUACGAGCCUUCUCCGACGCUUUUAUAUGACAAUAUUUCUAGUCUGACAGAAUACUCAAAACCAACAAGAGCUUCACAAAAUGUAAUCUUUAAAUGUACAUUUAAGAAGAAAGGGUAUAGAAAUCCAAUUAAAGCAGCUGUUUAAAAUAAGCCA